UACAGCUUAACCUGAUGAGAGGCUGAUCUAGAUUUGAUUUUGCCAAAUAGGGAGGAACUGGUUGAGAAUUUGAAAGUGGAAGGCAACUUAGGUGAAACUGAUCAUGAAAUGGUAGAGUUCAUGAUUCUAAGGAAUGGUAGGAGGGAAAAGAGCACAAUAAAGAUAGUGGAU